rnacentral:rRNA from 1 species
UAGGUAGUCUAACCGCAAGGAGGACGCUUACCACGGUGUGGCAGAUGACUGGGGUGAAGUCGUAACAAGGUAGCCGUAGGGGAACCUGCGGCUGGAUCACCUCCUUAACGAA